CCUACGGGGGGCAGCAGUGGGGAAUAUUGCACAAUGGGCGCAAGCCUGAUGCAGCCAUGCCGCGUGUGUGAAGAAGGCCUUCGGGUUGUAAAGCACUUUCAGCGGGGAGGAAGGCGUUAAGGUUAAUAACCUUGGCGAUUGACGUUACCCGCAGAAGAAGCACCGGCUAACUCCGUGCCAGCAGCCGCGGUAAUACGGAGGGUGCAAGCGUUAAUCGGAAUUACUGGGCGUAAAGCGCACGCAGGCGGUCUGUCAAGUCGGAUGUGAAAUCCCCGGGCUCAACCUGGGAACUGCAUUCGAAACUGGCAGGCUAGAGUCUUGUAGAGGGGGGUAGAAUUCCAGGUGUAGCGGUGAAAUGCGUAGAGGUCUGGAGGAAUACCGGUGGCGAAGGCGGCCCCCUGGACAAAGACUGACGCUCAGGUGCGAAAGCGUGGGGAGCAAACAGGAUUAGAUACCCCUGUAGUC
rnacentral:rRNA from 1 species